UGAGGAAUAUUGGUCAAUGGACGAGAGUCUGAACCAGCCAAGUAGCGUGAAGGAUGACUGCCCUAUGGGUUGUAAACUUCUUUUAUACGGGAAUAAAGUUAGCCACGUGUGGCUUUUUGUAUGUACCGUAUGAAUAAGGAUCGGCUAACUCCGUGCCAGCAGCCGCGGUAAUACGGAGGAUCCGAGCGUUAUCCGGAUUUAUUGGGUUUAAAGGGAGCGUAGGCGGGUUGUUAAGUCAGUUGUGAAAGUUUGCGGCUCAACCGUAAAAUUGCAGUUGAUACUGGCGACCUUGAGUGCAACAGAGGUAGGCGGAAUUCGUGGUGUAGCGGUGAAAUGCUUAGAUAUCACGAAGAACUCCGAUUGCGAAGGCAGCUUACUGGAUUGUAACUGACGCUGAUGCUCGAAAGUGUGGGUAUCAAACAGGAUUAGAUACCCUGGUAGUCCACACAGUAAACGAUGAAUACUCGCUGUUGGCGAUAUACGGUCAGCGGCCAAGCGAAAGCAUUAAGUAUUCCACCUGGGGAGUACGCCGGCAACGGUGAAACUCAAAGGAAUUGACGGGGGCCCGCACAAGCGGAGGAACAUGUGGUUUAAUUCGAUGAUACGCGAGGAACCUUACCCGGGCUUAAAUUGCAACUGACUGAACCGGAAACGGUUCUUUCUUCGGACAGUUGUGAAGGUGCUGCAUGGUUGUCGUCAGCUCGUGCCGUGAGGUGUCGGCUUAAGUGCCAUAACGAGCGCAGCCCUUAUCGAUAGUUACUAGCAGGUCAUGCUGAGGACUCUAUUGAGACUGCCGUCGUAAGAUGUGAGGAAGGUGGGGAUGACGUCAAAUCAGCACGGCCCUUACGUCCGGGGCUACACACGUGUUACAAUGGGGGGUACAGAAGGCAGCUACACGGCGACGUGGUGCUAAUCCCGAAAGCCUCUCUCAGUUCGGAUUGGAGUCUGCAACCCGACUCCAUGAAGCUGGAUUCGCUAGUAAUCGCGCAUCAGCCACGGCGCGGUGAAUACGUUCCC
rnacentral:rRNA from 2 species